AACGAACGCUGGCGGCAUGCCUAACACAUGCAAGUCGAACGAGACCUUCGGGUCUAGUGGCGCACGGGUGCGUAACGCGUGGGAACCUGCCCUUAGGUUCGGAAUAACUCCCCGAAAGGGGUGCUAAUACCGGAUAAUGUCUUCGGACCAAAGAUUUAUCGCCUUUGGAUGGGCCCGCGUUGGAUUAGCUAGUUGGUAGGGUAAAAGCCCACCAAGGCGACGAUCCAUAGCUGGUCUGAGAGGAUGAUCAGCCACACUGGGACUGAGACACGGCCCAGACUCCUACGGGAGGCAGCAGUGGGGAAUAUUGGACAAUGGGCGAAAGCCUGAUCCAGCAAUGCCGCGUGAGUGAUGAAGGCCUUAGGGCUGUAAAGCUCUUUUACCCGGGAUGAUAAUGACAGUACCGGGAGAAUAAGCUCCGGCUAACUCCGUG
rnacentral:rRNA from 1 species